rnacentral:rRNA from 1 species
UGGAGCAAACAGGAUUAGAUACCCCGGUAGUCCACGCCCUAAACGAUGAACACUAGUCGUCGCUCUGCUAGUCAGGGCGGUGAUGCACUUAACAGAUUAAGUGUUCCGCCUGGGAAGUACGGUCGCAAGAUUAAAACUCAAAGGAAUAGACGGGGACCCGCACAAGUGGUGGAGCAUGUGGUUUAAUUCGAAGAUACGCGAAGAACCUUACCUAGCCUUGACAUUGAAGAAACACCCUAGAGAUAGAGUGGUGCCCUUCGGGGAACUUGAAAACAGGUGCUGCACGGCUGUCGUCAGCUCGUGUCGUGAGAUGUUGGGUUAAGUCCCGCAACGAGCGCAACCCUCGUCCUUAGUUGCCAGCAGGUUAUGCUGGGCACUCUAAGGAGAUUGCCUUCGCAAGGAGGAGGAAGGUGAGGACGACGUCAAGUCAUCAUGGCCCUUAUGGCUAGGGCUACACACGUGCUACAAUGGGGCGUACAGAGUGUUGCGAUACCGCGAGGUGGAGCCAAUCACUUAAAGCGUCUCUCAGUUCGGAUUGAAGUCUGCAACUCGACUUCAUGAAGCUGGAAUCACUAGUAAUCGUAGAUCAGCUAUGCUACGGUGAAUACGUUCCCGGGUCUUGUACACACCGCCCGUCAC